AGAGAACGGUUUUGUCUCAACAAUGAGCGUCGAUGUUCCCGAAGAAGAACGUCGACAUAUCUUUCACUUCGGCGAAUAAAACUGAUGAACAGUAUAUAAUACGAAGUUCCUCCUCAUGGUAAUAAUAAUGACUGCCACGAGUAAAAAAAAAACAAAGAAACCAGUCGCCAACAUUCCGGCUAAUACCUGCAGCAACGACAACGUUCCUACGAGGUACGAAGAGGCACUACCUGUACUGUGGCGGAGUGGUACGGCCGUCGGGCGGGGAACCCAUGCGAGAGCAUGUUCUCCGGGUCGGCAGUGCGUCAUGUCAAUGACACGUCGUAGAGUUGGUCGUAGCUCCCGAGAUGGUGUGCGCGAUUCUUGGAGGCUUUAACGCACAUUCGCGUGAUUUCGCGAUAAAUUGCGAAUUUCAUUGUU